rnacentral:misc_RNA from 1 species
GAAGAGAGUAAGACACAAAAACCUGCAAAAAUAAAUCAACUUGAAAAGCCCAAUUCCUAGAAAAUCAUUAUAAUACCAAGAAAUCAAACUCUCAGCAGCUCGAUUUCAAGUUCUAGGGAAAGAAUUUUCAUAAGAUCACAGCUCAGAAGCAAAAUUUUCAUAUGAUAAAACUUAUAAACAUUAAUAAAUCUAUCAAUUAAUGAAGUUUACUUUCAAAUUCUGAAUAUGAAUUAUCACUAUUCCCAUACCCAGCGACACCAAUCUGAAUCUAACUAAAAAGGCUAAAAGCCAAAAAAAAAAAAAUCUAAAAAAGAAAACAAAAUCAGAAGGUAGAAGGAAAAGAAAUACAGAAAAAUUAAAUAGGGAAAAGGGAAGAAAUUAAAA